CAGUCGCCACGGUAAUACAGAGGAUGCAAGCGUUAUCCGGAAUGAUUGGGCGUAAAGCGUGCGCAGGCGGUUGUGUAAGACAGGUGUGAAAUCCCCGGGCUUAACCUGGGAACUGCGCUUGUGACUGCACAGCUAGAGUAUGGCAGAGGGGGGUGGAAUUCCACGUGUAGCAGUGAAAUGCGUAGAGAUGUGGAGGAACACCGAUGGCGAAGGCAGCCCCCUGGGCCAAUACUGACGCUCAUGCACGAAAGCGUGGGGAGCAAACAGGAUUAGAUACCCCGGUAGUCCCUGUCUCUUAUAA
rnacentral:rRNA from 1 species